rnacentral:rRNA from 1 species
CUGGGCUCAGAACGAACGCUGGCGGCAGGCCUAAACCAUGCAAGUUGAACGGCCAUAGCAAUAUGGCAGUAGCGCAAGGGUGAGUAAUGUAUGGGAACGUAUCUUUUGGUGGGGAAUAUUCUUUGGAAACGAAGAGCAAUACCGCAUAAGCCCUACGGGGGAAAGAUUUAUCGCCGAUUGAGCGGCCCAUAUUGGAUUAGCUAGUUGGUUGGGUAAUGGCCGACCAAGGCUGUGAUCCAUAGCUGGUCUGAGAGGACGAUCAGCCACACUGGGACUGAGACACGGCCCAGACUCCUACGGGAGGCAGCAGGUAGGAAUAUUGGACAAUGGGGGCAACCCUGAUCCAAGCCAUGCCGCGUGAGUGUUAAGGCCUUCGGGUUGUAAAGCUCUUUUGUAUGGGAAAAUGAUGAUGGUACCAUAAGAAUAAGCACCGGCUAACUUCGUGCCAGCCGCUGC